AUAGCGCGUCCCGGCGCGGUGCUGGCGGAGUGAGAGAGUGGAGGCGCACUGAGGUUGUCCCACUCAGCAGAGGUGCACUAGGGCGGGGCGGAGUCAUACGACACCAGACCUGGCGUGCACCGACCUGACACACACAGGUUAGGUUCUGCAGCAGGAUAACGAUCCAAAACACACCACCAACUGAACUGAACUGGCUUAAAAAGAAACAGACUGAAGGUUUUGGAGUGGCCUAGGUCGAAGCCGCCGUAGUCAGUGACCCACCCAGGUCGUCGUAGCAGCAAAAGCAGGACUGCCAUUGGCUCAGCACUUCCACUUCCCUACGGAUGAAACUUCAAGUAAACAAACUAACCCUAGUCAAAUGGGCAGCCAUAUUUGUGUAAUAUGUAAAUGUUGUAUAAAAAAAAAAAGUUGUCUUGCAAAACACCACCGCCAUCCUUCAUAUGUACUCUAUGUUGUAUGUAUACUGUUAUCAUUUCUCAAGCAGAAUGCUAGCACUGAGCUACAGAUAAUUUACCAGAGGCCUCCUGGGUUAUAUUAUUUAUUUGGAUACAUUUGUUUUUAAGGAGGUGAGCUUGGGUUUUCUCGGCACACUGCCGUAACAGCCUGAUGUCUGUACUGCUCGCCAACUGCCUUCCAUUACAAAUAAGGUGGCAUUUCAAUAAAUGUGAAUAUCAGAAUUUAUUUCGGUAGCUCAAGUGAAAAAGCAAAACUCAUACAUAUUCAUUAAACACACCAAUUUACACCUAUUUUCUGUAUUGAAAAUGAUUUUGUUUCUUAUGUAAUCUCAUUUCUUGAGAGUGAAUUUUGCUGUAACAACAAAAAAAGAUUUUUUAUUAUCAUCAAAAUGCAU